UUAAGUGAAUAAGGGCGCACGGAGGAUGCCUUGGCACUAGGAGUCGAAGAAGGACGCGACAAACGGCGAAACGCCUCGGGGAGCUGUAAGUGAGCAUUGAUCCGGGGGUAUCCGAAUGGGGAAACCCGCUAGUGGUUAUACGCUAGCACCAUAUGGUGAAUACAUAGCCAUAUAGGAGACAGACCCAGGGAACUGAAACAUCUAAGUACCUGGAGGAAAAGAAAGAAAAAUCGAUUCCCGUAGUAGCGGCGAGCGAAGUGGGAAGAGCCCAAACCGGAUUUAUCCGGGGUUGUAGGACCUUCAUAAUUGACAAAUCAUGAUAGCCGAAUGGUCUGGGAAGGCCAACCGUAGGGGGUGAGAGUCCCGUAGGUGAAAUUGUGAGAUGCAUGGAAGGAAUCCUGAGUACGGCGGGACACGUGGAAUCCCGUCGGAAUCAACGAGGACCAUCUCGUAAGGCUAAAUACUACCUAGUGACCGAUAGUGAACCAGUACCGUGAGGGAAAGGUGAAAAGAACCCCGGAAGGGGAGUGAAAGAGAACCUGAAACCGUGUGCCUACAAAUAGUCAGAGCCCGUUAAUGGGUGAUGGCGUGCCUUUUGUAGAAUGAACCGGCGAGUUACGAUAUCGUGCGAGGUUAAGCAGAAGAUGCGGAGCCGUAGCGAAAGCGAGUCUGAAUAGGGCGAAGAGUACGAUGUUGUAGACCCGAAACCGUGUGAGCUAGCCAUGAGCAGGCUGAAGGUCAGGUAACACUGACUGGAGGGCCGAACCAGGGCACGUUGAAAAGUGCUUGGAUGACUUGUGGCUAGGGGUGAAAUUCCAAUCGAACACGGAUAUAGCUGGUUCUCUCCGAAAUAGCUUUAGGGCUAGCCUCGAUGUUAAGUCUACUGGAGGUAGAGCACUGAAUGGGUGAUGGCCCCACCUCGGGGUACUGAUCUCAAUCAAACUCCGAAUGCCAGAUAGAUAUAAUCGGGAGUCAGACUGUGGGUGAUAAGGUCCAUGGUCAAAAGGGAAAGAGCCCAGACCGCCAGCUAAGGCCCCCAAGUGUCCGUUAAGUGGAAAAGGAUGUGGAGAUGCACAGACAACUAGGAGGUUGGCUUAGAAGCAGCCAUCCUUUAAAGAGUGCGUAAUAGCUCACUAGUCGAGUGACUCUGCGCCGAAAAUGUACCGGGGCUAAACGGACCGCCGAAGCUGCGGAUUGACUUUAGAGUCAGUGGUAGGAGAGCGUUCUAACAGCGGUGAAGCAGUACCGGAAGGAGCUGUGGAGCGGUUAGAAGUGAGAAUGCCGGUGUGAGUAGCGAAAGAUAGGUGAGAAUCCUAUCCAUCGAAAGCCUAAGGUUUCCAGGGGAAGGCUCGUCCGCCCUGGGUAAGUCGGGACCUAAGGUGAGGCCGAAAGGCGUAGCCGAUGGACAACAGGUUGAUAUUCCUGUACCACUUAUUAAACUGAUGGAGUGACGGAGAAGGCUAAGUUGAGCGUGUGAUUGGAUUCACGUGUAAGCAGUGAGGUGGUCAUGUAGGCAAAUCCGCAUGGCAUAACAUUGAGCUGUGAUGCCGAAGCCGAAUGGCGAAGUCAACUGACGUCACGCUUCCAAGAAAAGCUUCUAGGGUUAAUUUAAUAAGUGCCCGUACCGAUAACCGACACAGGUAGGCGAGGAGAGAAUCCUAAGAUGAGCGAGAGAACUCUUGUUAAGGAACUCGGCAAAAUGACCCCGUAACUUCGGGAGAAGGGGUGCUUGUGAAAGCAAGCCGCAGUGAAUAGGCCCAGGCGACUGUUUAUCAAAAACACAGGUCUCUGCUAAACCGCAAGGUGAUGUAUAGGGGCUGACGCCUGCCCGGUGCUGGAAGGUUAAGAGGAGAGGUUAGCGCAAGCGAAGCUUUGAAUUGAAGCCCCAGUAAACGGCGGCCGUAACUAUAACGGUCCUAAGGUAGCGAAAUUCCUUGUCGGG
rnacentral:rRNA from 1 species